CUCCCGCCGUUUCGCAGCCGAGCUAUGGAGCUUCGCCGAUUCCUCUAGGUGGCGGAGCCUAUCAAGAAAAACGCUGCUGUAGCUGCGGCUGCGGCUAGCAGUUUGACAAGCGGCACGACCACUGGGCACGACCCAACAUGUGCGAAGCCUUGUGAGACCGCUGCGCCAGGCUCUUUCUGUAAAAUGCACCUGAGCACCGUUGUUUGGUUCUUCUGCCAGCGUCUGCUUCGUCGCCGUUUCAUGGAAUCUCGACCAUUUCCUCAAAAUACACUGUACAGCCAAAGGACAUCACGCAUACUCAAGGGCGAAAUUCCAAGUAUCAGAAGACGAUUACACGGCUUCGAAGACAGCAGGUGAAGACCUCCGACACGAAGUGCUAAAUUGCAGCUGUUUAAUGACGGACACACUGGCUUACACAUUCGAAAUGAAGAUGUUGGUGCGUGCUCAAUUAUUCUUGCAGGCAGUUUAUUUCGGCAUGCUGCCAUUCACAUAAUUUCGCUGCCCUAAUUCACCCUCCUUCGCAGAAGUACAAGAAAAAACGUAACAUUUUUUUCCUUCUAAAACAGUCUCAUUUUGAGGAAAUUAAUUCGUGUCGUGUGUUUGCAGUUUUUUUUUCGUUAUCUUAAUAGUUGCAACACCUCUUCUAUGUGUUUUGCUUGUGCAAAGUUAUUGCCAUCACGCCAUUCAUUUGCGACUAUUCUCCAUUACACCGGCGUCACACGACCACUUUCGAUCGCGAACAAGUCCGAUCCGGAUAGAAAUUCGCGACUGAUAUUGGCACCAUCGCGCGGCUUGCGCAGAAUAACGAAUCGUGACUGAGAAAUUCAAAUCGGAUUGGGCUUGAUCGCGUUUAAAAGGGCGCCGUGUGACACCCGUAUUAUUGCAUUUCGCUGUUUCUUCCCGUUUUCAUGUAUCUGCCUCUUACAAUUUGCUGCAAUAAAUUGUCUGCUAUUUUCGUUUU